rnacentral:rRNA from 1 species
AGCGGCGGACGGGUGAGUAACGCGUGGGGAACCUGCCUUGUAGAGGGGGAUAGCCUCGGGAAACCGGGAUUAAUACCCCAUAAAACUUAAAUAUCGCAUGAUGAAAAAGUCAAAACAUAAGUGCUACAAGAUGGUCCCGCGUCCCAUUAGCUAGUUGGUGAGAUAACAGCCCACCAAGGCGACGAUGGGUAGCCGAUCUGAGAGGGUGAACGGCCACAUUGGGACUGAGACACGGCCCAAACUCCUACGGGAGGCAGCAGUGGGGAAUAUUGCGCAAUGGGGGAAACCCUGACGCAGCAACGCCGCGUGAGCGAAGAAGGCCUUCGGGUCGUAAAGCUCUGUCUUAAGGGAAGAAGAAGUGACAGUACCUUA